GCAUCGAUGAAGAACGCAGCGAAAUGCGAUAAGUAAUGUGAAUUGCAGAAUUCAGUGAAUCAUCGAAUCUUUGAACGCACCUUGCGCUCCUUGGUAUUCCGAGGAGCAUGCCUGUUUGAGUGUCGUGAAUAUCUCAACUCAUCCGGUUUUUAUUAACUGUGGUGGGCUUGGACUUGGAGGUAUGCUGGCUGACUAGUCGGCUCCUCUCUAAAUGUAUUAGCUGGACCUGUUACGGAUCAGUACUCGGUGUGAUAAUUGUCUACGCCGUGUCUGUGAAGUGCUUGAAUGGACUAGCUUCUAACCGUCUUCGGACAACUACUGACAUUUUGACCUCAAAUCAGGUAGGAUUACCCGCUGAACUUAAGCAUAUCAAUAAGCGGAGGA
rnacentral:rRNA from 1 species